rnacentral:tRNA from 3 species
GGGCGGUUAGCUCAGCUGGUUAGAGCACUUGCUCGACACGCAAGAGGUCAGUGGUUCGAGUCCACUACCGCCCACCA